UGAGCCUGCAUUUCCAAACACCGAGCAAGCCUCCUUGCAAUGUCUCACAGCCGAUCUGUUUCCAGACAUUAAAUUAUCUUUAAACUGGCCUAGGACACUUUGUUUCCCUUUUGUGAUUUUUUAAAAAUUGGAUUAGUCUGAACAUAUUCUUCAUGAUCUUCUUUUGCCCCUCUGUCUUCGUCUCUUGCUAUUCCUUGACAUGUGUCUUUCAUUCUGGUCAUAACUAAGAACUGUUUCAUGCUCAUGUACCUCUAGGAAGUCACACGUGCUGUCUUCUGCACCGGAACAGCUCAUUUUAAUCAAUCUAACAUCUAUUCAUCUUGAGAAAAUAAGCUUAUAUUUUUCUUCCUCUGGGAAAUCUGACCUACCAGAGUCUGAUUUAGAGGCUCAUGUAAAUAGAGUAAUUGUGUUGCCAUCCAGAUCUUUAGAGCACCGUGUGUAUCUCCAACACCUAAAACAAUACCUGCCACUUGAAGAUGUUCAAUAAACUGGCCCAACCUGACUGAUGAGGAAUCCAGUGGCAGUGGAA
rnacentral:lncRNA from 10 species